UGCCAUUGUUACCAGAUCACCUCUUUCUUCUGCAAAUCACCCUCUUCAACAUCCUCUCAUCCUCCUCCUCACUCACCAUCCUCUAUUUCUAACCCUAAACAUACAAAAAUGGCCCCUGCCACAUUCUUCUUCUACCUGCAACAAAACAUGGCUCCUUCUCUUUCUUUAUCUACUGUCUCUGUCUCUCUCUCUCUCUGUGUUUCUCUGGGAUGAACGAGGAAGACGAAGACGACAGCGGCGAAGACAUCGCUCCCGCCAUCGCACCUCGCGUCCGAAUCCAUCAUUGGGAAACCCUAGGGUUCCGACGGUUGUUGUGACCAAGAACCAGGCGCUGGCAAAAAUAGAAACAGAACCCCUAGGGUUUCGACGAGGACGAACUCCGGCAGUCGGACUCUGGCCGUCACGGUGAUUUGGAUUCGGUCUGAGAUAAUUAUAAUUUGUUUGCUACAGAUGAUAUGAUUUGGUGGAGAGUUGCAACAUAAUGCCACAAGAAAAAGAAAUUAACUUGACGCCUUGACGGUAACUUUUGUUUUUGUUUGUUUUUUUACCUUAUGUGAUGGAAUCAUGUAUUUAUACCUUGAACAUGAAACCAAAGCCAUGAACUAUUGACGGUAACUUUUGUUUUUUUUACCUUGAACAUGUAUUUUUACCUUACUGGUUACUACAAAACUAGAACUACAAAACUGCCCAGACCUACACAGAGGCAUUCAAAUUUAUAUGAAGUAUCAUAUAGUGUUUGUUGGGGAACAUUUAAAAGUAGUGAGUGUUUACAUAAUUACAUAGCAUUUGCAUUUGUUUGUUUGAUCUCUUUAGUUUCUUAGUCACAUGAACUAUUGUCACCGGCUGUAGGUGGCAAAAAUGCAAAUGCUAUGUAAUUAUGUAAACACUCACUACUUUUAAAUGUUCCCCAACAAACACUAUAUGAUACUUCAUAUAAAUUUGAAUGCCUCUGUGUAGGUCUGGGCAGAGUUGAGGUUUUUUGUUGUUGGCGCAUAUGGUUAUGUGAUUGACUUUGCUUUCACUUGGCAGCUGGUGAGUAUGCAGCCAUGGCGGGUUAUUCUCUGUGUUUGAAAAUGAGAUGGUCAUGUGCAUUGGCGAAGCCACGCCCCCCCCCCCUCAUUUUCCCUAAACCCGGAGGGGAGGGGACGUAUAUAGCUAUACGUAAGUAUAAUACUACGCAUCGAAAAGUCCGGGGGGAGGGGGCGGGCGUCCCCCGGAGAUACACUAUCCUGCGCCCCUGGUCAUGUGAAUGACUUUGCUUUCACAUGGCAACUGGUUAGUGUCGGAUCUAUUCACUUUAACUCAUAUGUGGCCGUAUGUUUGUAGUUUGUAAACAGUUCAUUGUCAUUGAUUGUCCUUGAUUUUUAUUGGAAGUGGCUAUGAUGAUGAGUUUAAAUUUGAGCAAAGAUGGGACUUUUGUGUGUCCUGGCGGGGCAACCGAGAUGGUCAUGAGAUUGACUUUGCUUUCCCUUCCCGUGGCAACCAGUCAGUGUGCAGCCAUGACAUAUCUAUUCUCUUUCUUUGAUUGUUUACAUAUAUGAGCCUUAUUAUUCUUUCAUCGUGUUUUUUAAUCUUUCUUCAUUACACAAUAUUACUAAGUUUGAUUUCUGAUCAAUGAUGGAUGCUUGCGAGUUUUGAUCACUCAAUAAAUACAACGAUGUAUGAUAAUCAACUUUUAAGCUCCGUAGCUGUACUGACCAGCAACAUUCUUUCAAGUAUGUCAGAAGAAGCUAGAAAUGCCAGCAUAAUUGUUUUUGAUGUUG